AGGUUGCUUCGGUAACUGACCUAGCGGCGGACGGGUGAGUAAUGCUUAGGAAUCUGCCUAUUAGUGGGGGACAACAUUCCGAAAGGAAUGCUAAUACCGCAUACGUCCUACGGGGGAAAGCAGGGGAUCUUCGGACCUUGCGCUAAUAGAUGAGCCUAAGUCGGAUUAGCUAGUUGGUGGGGUAAAGGCCUACCAAGGCGACGAUCUGUAGCGGGUCUGAGAGGAUGAUCCGCCACACUGGGACUGAGACACGGCCCAGACUCCUACGGGAGGCAGCAGUGGGGAAUAUUGGACAAUGGGGGGAACCCUGAUCCAGCCAUGCCGCGUGUGUGAAGAAGGCCUUUUGGUUGUAAAGCACUUUAAGCGAGGAGGAGGCUCCUUUAGUUAAUACCUAAAGAGAGUGGACGUUACUCGCAGAAUAAGCACCGGCUAACUCUGUGCCAGCAGCUGCGGUAAUACAGAGGGUGCGAGCGUUAAUCGGAUUUACUGGGCGUAAAGCGUGCGUAGGCGGCUUUUUAAGUCGGAUGUGAAAUCCCUGAGCUUAACUUAGGAAUUGCAUUCGAUACUGGAAAGCUAGAGUAUGGGAGAGGAUGGUAGAAUUCCAGGUGUAGCGGUGAAAUGCGUAGAGAUCUGGAGGAAUACCGAUGGCGAAGGCAGCCAUCUGGCCUAAUACUGACGCUGAGGUACGAAAGCAUGGGGAGCAAACAGGAUUAGAUACCCUGGUAGUCCAUGCCGUAAACGAUGUCUACUAGCCGUUGGGGCCUUUGAGGCUUUAGUGGCGCAGCU
rnacentral:rRNA from 1 species